GACGAACGCUGGCGGCGUGCUUAACACAUGCAAGUCGAGCGGUAAGGCCCUUUCGGGGGUACGACGAGCGGCGAACGGGUGAGUAACACGUGGGUGACCUGCCCUCAGCUCUGGGAUAAGCCUGGGAAACCGGGUCUAAUACCGGAUAUGACUCCAUGACGCACGUUGUGGGGUGGAAAGCCUUGUGCGGCUGAGGAUGGGCCCGCGGCCUAUCAGCUUGUUGGUGGGGUGAUGGCCACCAAGGCGACGACGGUAGCCGGCCUGAGAGGGCGACCGGCCACACUGGGACUGAGACACGGCCCAGACUCCUACGGGAGGCAGCAGUGGGGAAUAUUGGACAAUGGGCGCAAGCCUGAUCCAGCGAUGCCGCGUGUGUGAAGAAGGCCUGCGGGUUGUAAAGCAC
rnacentral:rRNA from 1 species